rnacentral:rRNA from 1 species
GUGGCAAGCGUUAUCCGGAAUUAUUGGGCGUAAAGCGUCCGCAGGCGGCCCUUCAAGUCUGCUGUUAAAAAGUGGAGCUUAACUCCAUCAUGGCAGUGGAAACUUUUUAGCUAGAGUGUGAUAGAGGUAAGUGGAAUUUCUAGUGUAGAGGUGAAAUUCGUAGAUAUUAGAAAGAACACCAAAUGCGAAGGCAACUUACUGGGUCACUACUGACACUGAGGAACGAAAGCAUGGGUAGCGAAGAGGAUUAGAUACCCUCGUAGUCCAUGCCGUAAACGUUGUACACUAGGUCUUGGGGGUUUCGACCCUUUCAGGACCCCAGCUAACGCGAUAAGUGUACCGCCUGAGGACUACGGCCGCAAGGCUAAAACUCAAAGGAAUUGACGGGGGCCCGCACAAGCGGUGGAGCAUGUGGUUUAAUUCGAUGCAACGCGAAGAACCUUACCUAGGCUUGACAUGUAUCGGACGAUUUCCAGAGAUGGAUUUUUUCCUUCGGGACUGAUACACAGGUGCUGCAUGGCC